GAGUUGUAUGUAAGGCUUGAUUGCUUCCGACUACAAGCCAAAGCAAUCAUAAAAGAAAAUUAUGAUUAAUUCCCAGCAUGAAUCAUCUAAGUCUAGCACAAACCAUCUACUCUAACGAUAAGCAUGACCUGUCUAACCUAGCAUGAUGCAUCUGAUCAUUAAAUCAUUAAACAUGAAAUCGAUGUCACAUGAAUAUCUCCUCCAAACUACAGGUGUUGGAUUCGAUGAAAUAGAUCAAUCUAUAUAAAAUAUUUUAUGCAAGAUAAAUAAUUCAUAUAAAUUGGAUAAAUCAUAAAGAUCAAUUGAUAAAUUCUUUAUCAUGCAACACUCUUACAAUACAAACUCAAAUCAAUAAAAAUGAAACGAAUACUCCUCUAUGGCUUCAUCAAACCCCUAAACCGAGGCUCAGCUGCUCAUGGUGCUUGUCAUCUCCAUUGGUUGGCUGAAGAACUCCUUUGCCAUCCGCCUCAAACCCUCUCUCUUUUUUUUUAUUCUUUUUUUUUUGGUUUUCUUUUUCUCUUCAAAACAGAGCAAGCUCUGUUUUUUUCUUGGAACCGUGUUCUCCCCCACCGAACG
rnacentral:lncRNA from 1 species